rnacentral:misc_RNA from 1 species
GAUGAAGAACGUAGCGAAAUGCGAUACUUGGUGUGAAUUGCAGAAUCCUGUGAACCAUCGAGUUUUUAAACGCAAGUUUCGCCCGAAGCCAUUAGGCCGAGGGCACGCCUGCCUGGGUGUCACACAUUGUUGCCCCAAUGCCAAUCGCCUCACUUUGUAGGUAUUUGCUUGGGGUGAAUGUUUGCCUCCCGGGAGCUCUGUCUCACGGUUGGUUGAAAAUCGAAUGCAUGGUGUCGGGUGUACCAUGAUGGAUGGUGGUUGAGUGAUGCUCGAGACCAAUCAUGGGUAACUCCACCAGAAUUGUGCUCGGUGACCCACAUGCGUCCCUUGGAUGCUCCCUAAGGAGACCUCAGGUCAGGCGGGGCUACCCGUUGAGUUUAAGCAUAUCAAUAAGCGGAGGA